AUGGCGGCGAGAGCCAUGUCUGGCAACGGCCUCCUCUUGGCCGUGGCGUUGGCAUCGGCCUUUCUGGUGGCGACAGCGACGGCGCAGUCCGGGUGCACGGCGGCGCUGGUCGGCCUGUACCCGUGCAUGAACUACAUCAGCGGCUACGACACGGCGCCCACCAAGUCCUGCUGCUCGCAGGUCGGCUCCGUGGUGCAGUCCCAGCCCCAGUGCCUCUGCAGCGCGCUCGGCGGCGACUCGUCAUCGCUCGGCGGCAUGACCCUCAACAAGACGCGCGCGCUCGAGCUGCCCAAGGCAUGCAACGUGCAGACCCCGCCGGCGAGCAAGUGCAACAACGGUGGUGGCGGUGCUCCUGGCGCCGCCUCGCCAGAGGUGCAGACACCUGCCGGCUCGGGGUCGAAGGCAACGCCGUCGGCGUACCUGCAGGAGAACGGCGGCUCGUCGCUCCAGGGCACGGUGGCCCUGGUGUUCGCGGUCGCUGCUGCGGCGGUCUAUGCCGUGUCGGCCGUGUAGUGA
rnacentral:rRNA from 1 species